GAAAACCUGAGAAUUUUCAUUUUGAAAAUUGAGUUUGAAUCUCACUGUUUGGAGAUUCAAAAACUCCAGGAUCCAAAGCUUUGUUCCAUUUCCAAACCACUUCUACAAGCUUCUUGAGUGUGAUCAAGCAAGGAUUGAAGCAAGCAAGAUCAAGUUCUGCACAGCAAUGAAGGUAUUUUCCAGAAAUUUUCUUCUCUCUGAUUCUCA
rnacentral:lncRNA from 1 species